GAUAAUGACAGGCCUUGGAAGGGGUCGGCAACACCUUGUGUAGGUUCAGACUUUGCUCUAUUUGAAGCUUGCACCAAAAUCUCUGUUGGCGAUGGUGCAAAAACUUUGUUCUGGAAGGACAACUGGUUAAAUGGCUCGGCGCCGGCCAAGAUUGCCCCGGCCAUCUUGAAGAGGUCAAGAUGCAAAUCAAUAUCCAUCAAGGAUGGUUUCCAGGAGGGAAGAUGGAUGACGGGCCUGUUUAGACUGAAUUCUGAAGAAGUGCAACAGUUCCUCUCUCUUUGGGAGGUCAUUCAAAACGUGCAACUUUCUACUACGGCUGAUUCCAUCUCCUGGCGAUUGUCUGCUAACGGUGAGUAUUCAGCAAGUUCUGCAUACAAUGCUCAAUUCAUUGGGAGGAUUCGGGAACCAGCUCUGAACAAAGUCUGGAAGUUGAAAACCGAAGGAAAGGUGCAUUUUUACUUCUGA
rnacentral:rRNA from 1 species